UGGGUCUCAUGCGAUGCAUUGGCGUGAACCUUGUCAGGGUCGGAAGGCAGCAGCAAUAAGCGUUUGGUGUAUGUGCUGUGAGGUUGCCC
rnacentral:SRP_RNA from 1 species